UAUUUAAGAACGUUGCCUGCACAUAUUAAGGUUGAGUUUCAGUUAAAUAAUGACAAGCUGUUUUUAUUAUUGGUGCAUGGAAGUCCACGCAAGAUCAAUGAAUACCUGUUUGAGGACAGGGAAGAAAAAAGCCUUAUACGCAUUAUGCAGGAUGCGGGUGCUGACGUUAUGUGUUUUGGACAUACGCACAAACCCUAUCACCGGGUAUUGAGUGUUUCAGAAGAUCAAAAAGAAAAAUACCUGCAUGCCAUCAAUAUAGGGUCGGUUGGCAAACCCAAAGAUGGAAAUCCUACAGGCGGAUAUGUACUGCU
rnacentral:misc_RNA from 1 species